AAUGGAUAAUCCAAUGUGAAAAUUUAAUGCAAAUGAUCAAAGUUAAAUUCAUCUUAUAAUAUUUUAUUGUUAUAUAAUAAAAAAAUAGCUAUUCUAAUGUGGAGAUUUAUGUGAAUAGAAUAAUCAAAAGUCAAAUUCGUCUUAUAUUCAUUAAAAGUGUUCUUUAACUUUGUAUAAUCCAUUGAGGAUGUUCUAAGAUGAUGAAGUUUUAUAAUAAAGGGUAGCAUGUAGUUGGUGGUUGAUGAACAGGUAAUUAUUUUCUCAUGCAACAAUGGUACUACCCUAGCUACUAAUAUUUAUAUGUAUAUAUAAAGUAAUAUUAGAUACAGUCGUUAUGGUUAUGUAAGUGCCACGCAUUUUUUUGAAAAAAAAAGUAGUCUAUCAAUAAAAAAUUAAUUUUUUAUAUAAAUAUCAUAUUUAUUUACUUUUUUAAAAAGUAAUGCGCAACAUUUGUACACUCUAUGACUGUAAAUAUCAUAUAAAUAUGCUGGUUAGUUGAAGAAAACCUCUUAAUUUUAAUUUUUUGGUUUGCAAAUUUGGUUAAUUUAUAGAGGUAACAGGUUGAAGAAAAUUAAUAUGAUCAAGUUCCUCCUGGAAGUACCUACGUACCGUAUAUUCAUGACUCAUGAGCUGGUCCUGCCCUCCAAAUGAGCAUGCGCAUCAUGCUGUAGAUCCAAAUUAAUUUCAAUUGCUUUGCUCAUCUUGGCAAAGGUGCUUCACCACAAGAGAGCCUUUGGUUAUCUCUAGAUGUGGAGCAAGUGCAGAUUACCCUAGUUGUACAAACCUAGCAUAUACACAAGCUAUUACAGAUGGCGUAGAGGUACUUGACUGCCCUCUUCAAUUGGCAAAGGGUGGGACACCAUUUUACUAAUGAGUACCGACGAGAUGCUCUUUUACUAGAGCGAAAUUACCAGAAAUUUGAACUUCUGGAUCGGCAGUUUUGGGAAGUGGGUGUUGAUGCUCAUGCGAGAUUAAAGAAGACUCCAUUACGCGAAGGCGAUGGCUGCAGUUUUCUGUAACAGGUUUCAUUGGAAGGGAAAAGUCUUAUUGGCUGUACUUAAAGACGGAGGAGGGUAAGAAAUAGAGGACUUAACCGGUUUUUUUUUUUUUCAAAUAUCAGCUGAUGUGAUGUCAUGCCACGUCAGUCGACUGCAUAGCGUCUAUAUGGGACGACUAUGUAUAGAAGAACUGAUUUCUAAAUGCGCAUGAAGUAGCAACUUUCCCGAGGCUCGACCAUCA